CGGACAUAGUGGCGCACGGGUGCGUAACACUAUGUCGAACGGUGUCUUCGGACAUAGUGGCGCACGGGUGCGUAACACGUAUGCAACCUACCUUACAUUGGGGGAUAGCCUUUCGAAAGGGAGAUUAAUACCGCAUAAGACAGUAGCUGGGCAUCCAGCAGCUGUUAAAGAUUUAUCGAUGUAAGCUGGGCAUGCGUCCAAUUAGCUAGUUGGUGAGGUAACGGCUAACCAAGGCAAUGAUUGGUAGGGGAACUGAGAGGUCAAUCCCCCACACUGGCACUGAGAUACGGGCCAGACUCCUACGGGAGGCAGCAGUAGGGAAUAUUGGGCAAUGGACGCAAGUCUGACCCAGCCAUGCCGCGUGCAGGAUGAAGGCGUUAUGCGUUGUAAACUGCUUUUAUACAGGAAGAAACGACUCUUGCGAGAGGCAUUGACGGUACUGUAUGAAUAAGCACCGGCUAACUCCGUGCCAGCCGCCGCCGUAAAAC
rnacentral:rRNA from 1 species